GUUUGAAAGAGUUUGAAAGAGUUUGAAAGGUUAGGAAUAUAUAUAAAGAAGAUUAGUAUUAUUAUAAUUUUCUCCCGCCAGGUUAGGUAGCGGCAGCUCAAAAUCCCACCUUCUUUGUUCUUCUGCGUUGAACGAAAAAGUCUCAAUUCAAUCCAAAAAUUCCAAUGUCUAAACCAUCUCAUGCUCCAAAUUUCAAAACCCUCUUCACCAAUCUCUUGACUUCCAAACGUUUUGGUUCCAUAGUCUGUUCAAUUUCGCUAUCUUUUGCCCAACAGUCAAUCGAACAGUUGAGAUCGUUCUUGGUAUCUUUUCAUUUUUCAAAUUCUUUGAAUUUUCUAAUACAAAUUUCCUCGACGUAGUUAUCAAGGAACUGAAUUUUCCGCCAUUUGGAUUUGCUAUAUUAUCUUCUGUUCACCCAACAAUGCAAUCUGCAACUGAGUUCGUACUGAAGCGAGUUAACCAUGGCCGUUUCCAGCAAGAUUUUGGUGAUUUCCAUGGCGAUUCUCGUAGCUGUUCGUUCAAUUGAAGCGUUAGACCCUAAUGUGACCUGGAUUCAGUUCUACAUGCAUGAUAUCGUGAGUGGUCCGAACCCCACCGCGAUUCAAGUCGCCGGCCGGCAGACGAACUACACUGGUACGGAUCCAAUCGCCGCCAUGUUUGGGUCUGUUUUCAUGAUGGAUAACCCACUCACGGUGACGCCGGAGUUGAACUCCACGUUGAUAGGUCGUGCUCAGGGGAUUUAUGCAAUGUCGUCGCAGCAGAAUGAGUUCAGCCUUUUGAUGACGCUUACCUUCGGCAUGAUCGGCGGACAGUACAACGGUAGCUCGUUCAGCGUCGUUGGGCGGAAUCCCAUCAUGAACGAAGUCCGGGAAAUGCCGGUCGUCGGAGGGACGGGGAUUUUCCGGCUGGUUCGUGGGUAUUGCUUAGCCAGGACAUACUCUUUCAGGAAUAUGGAUGCUGUGAUUGGCUACAACGUUACGUUGAUUCACGAUCUCUACGACUACUCCGGUUGAAGAUGAUUGAGGAUUCCGUAUUUUUGGAUGAUUUCCAUUAUAUUUAUAUUGAAUAAAUCUUCGUAGUCUAGAGCAUGUACAUUCAUAUUUCCAAUUAGCAAGUGCAUUCUACGAGCAUCAUUAACAUACCUUAAUUCAUUAUAUUAAAUGAAACUGUUUCUAUAUAGGGUUGUGUAGCAAAUAGGGGUUUGGUCAAUGGAGACCGUUUAAACUUUUAUGGGCAUUCAAUGUGAUUUAGCUGCCUGCCAUUUAUGUGUUUGAGUUAUGUAUCUGCUUUAUAUGACCAUGUAAUUUUGCAUGCCAACUUUUACCUUGUCCCUUUUUAUUCUUCUCGGAGAUGGGGAUGGAGAUGGAGAAUAGAUAAUUUCAUAUUUUACUGUUUUCUAGACUUUAACAAUCUUGAUGCCCUCCAAGCGUUUGCCUAUGCUUCUGCUCUGAGAUUGGAAAGGUCUUGUUUGGGAUUUAUCUGUUCUGAAAGACAGGUGAUCGUCGUUUGUUUAUUAUUUGAUCCGUGGGUUUCUUGAGCUUUAUGAUUGUUCAUAUAUGCACUUAGUACUUUCAGUGUCACUUUCUCUCGCUCUUUUUAUCUUUGUUUGGCUGCCGAUAAAUGGAAUCUUAGGAAAGAGUAAGGGGAAGAAACUUAAAUCUCGGCUGUUUCUUGUGAAAAUGGUUGUUUUGAUUUUGGUUGUAUUCUAGGCUGCUUAUGACAUUCAACCAGGGGAGUUGAUUCUCCCAAAACAAUGUUAAGUUGAACGUCCGUUGUUUAUUUUCCAUGCCAUGUAAUCAACUAUAAGAUGAUUGAUGUAUGAUUGUUCCUUUUCUUUGCAUGCAAUCUCUUCCUUUUAAGCGUUUGACAAUAUUUGUUGACAGCUUAAUUAGAACUGGAAGGAUCAACCUUAGCAGAAUCUAUAGGUACCAAUCAGGAAGUUUGGUGAUUUGUUCAUCAUUAGAGAAUAGAUGAGGAACGAAUUUUCUGAUUUGGUGGUCGACAAUAUGAAGAAAAGCCGAAAAGUGGAGAAGAAUAAAUUGAAAGUUGAUGAUAUUGAGUUCUUUAAGAGAAGAAAUUAUGUUGUACAAGAGCGUGAUGCUGGUCCUAGUGAAUCAGAAGCAAGUGGAGAUAGAAUGAGUAGGUAUUCCUCGAAGAGUUCAGUCAAGAGUUCAAUCGAAGACGAGUUGCCUGAGCUUGUUGUUUUUCUCCAAGAAACAAACUAUGAAUUUGUGAAAGACAUUUGCAUUGACGAAGCAGUAACAUCGCGUCAAAAGUGCUUUAAGGAGAGCUGUCACACAGAAAACGAUCAUGUCCCCUGCAUGCUCAAAUAUAAUGCAGGAGAAACUGAUGCUGAAUCAACUGAAGAAUCCAACGAUUCGGAUUCGACAAUUUCAAGUAUUGAAUCAACACAGACCCUUGAGGAAAACUUUAACGAAGUUUACGAGAAGCAAAAGGUUCAUUCUGAUGCAAUAGAUGUCCCUUCUGAGGUUCCCCGUAAGAAAUCUGUGCCAAAAUUAUUUCUUGAUAGAAAGUAGGUUACAGGUAAAAAGGCAGCAUCUUCUACAAACUCGAUUGCAAUAUCAUUGAAUAAGAUACUCGAUGAAAACAGAAACAAAGGAAAAGCAGUUGCCAGAAGCAACAUUGAACAUGGCAAAAAUUUUCGCAACUCCGGUUUAUCACAAAGCACAAUAGAGGGUGGUAGCAGCAAUUGGACGGCAGGUUGUGGUCAUUGUCAUGACUGUACCAUGGCCGAAUACAAGGACUAUACACCUGAAAACGAAACGGGACUAUACAGUAGCCAUUGUUCCUCUGCAGGUGAUCCUAGUUUGAACUCAGUGAGAAGACCCUCGAUGUCGUCUUAUUUGGGCAGUGGAUCUCUUCGGUCGAAUAGCAGCACCAACAGCUCACAUUCUUUUGCUUUUCCAAUUUUGCCAACAGAAUGGAAUGGAAGUCCAGAAAGGAUGGCAAAAGCUGAUCCGUUGCAAACACGAAGGCGGCAACUAUGGAGACUAUGUUUGCCCUGCUGUAAUUUCUGAGCCUCUCAUUGCCCAACCUUUCAGUGCUCUUGAUUGUUUUCACUCAGAUUCAUUAUCAUUUGUAUGAUAUAUGUAGAACUGCAGUGAUCCCACCAUUUGUAGUUUAUUUUAUAGCAUAAAAAUUUAGUGUUUCUGAAUA